GCUCUUGGGGAUUAGUGGCGAACGGGUGAGUAACACGUGAGUAACCUGCCCUUGACUCUGGGAUAAGCGUUGGAAACGACGUCUAAUACCGGAUACGAGCUUCCACCGCAUGGUGAGUUGCUGGAAAGAAUUUUGGUCAAGGAUGGACUCGCGGCCUAUCAGCUUGUUGGUGAGGUAACGGCUCACCAAGGCGACGACGGGUAGCCGGCCUGAGAGGGUGACCGGCCACACUGGGACUGAGACACGGCCCAGACUCCUACGGGAGGCAGCAGUGGGGAAUAUUGCACAAUGGGCGAAAGCCUGAUGCAGCAACGCCGCGUGAGGGACGACGGCCUUCGGGUUGUAAACCUCUUUUAGCAGGGAAGAAGCGAAAGUGACGGUACCUGCAGAAAAAGCACCGGCUAACUACGUGCCAGCA
rnacentral:rRNA from 1 species